AACGAACGCUGGCGGCAUGCCUAACACAUGCAAGUCGAACGAGACCUUCGGGUCUAGUGGCGCACGGGUGCGUAACGCGUGAGAAUCUGCCCUUGGGUUCGGAAUAACAGUUGGAAACGACUGCUAAUACCGGAUGAUGUCUUCGGACCAAAGAUUUAUCGCCCAGGGAUGAGCCCGCGUAAGAUUAGCUAGUUGGUGAGGUAAAGGCUCACCAAGGCUACGAUCUUUAGCUGGUCUGAGAGGAUGAUCAGCCACACUGGGACUGAGACACGGCCCAGACUCCUACGGGAGGUAGCAGUGGGGAAUAUUGGACAAUGGGCGAAAGCCUGAUCCAGCAAUGCCGCGUGAGUGAUGAAGGCCUUAGGGUUGUAAAGCUCCUUUACCCGGGAUGAUAAUGACAGUACCGGGAGAAUAAGCCCCGGCUAACUCCGUGCCAGCAGCCGCCGCAG
rnacentral:rRNA from 1 species